CAGCCGCCGCGGUAACACGAAGGGGGCUAGCGUUGUUCGGAAUUACUGGGCGUAAAGCGCACGUAGGCGGACAUUUAAGUCAGGGGUGAAAUCCCGGGGCUCAACCCCGGAACUGCCUUUGAUACUGGGUGUCUAGAGUAUGGAAGAGGUGAGUGGAAUUCCGAGUGUAGAGGUGAAAUUCGUAGAUAUUCGGAGGAACACCAGUGGCGAAGGCGGCUCACUGGUCCAUUACUGACGCUGAGGUGCGAAAGCGUGGGGAGCAAACAGGAUUAGAUACCCCCGUAGUCCCUGUCUCUUAUAC
rnacentral:rRNA from 1 species